UACGAAGGGGGCUAGCGUUGCUCGGAAUCACUGGGCGUAAAGGGUGCGUAGGCGGGUUUUUAAGUCAGGGGUGAAAUCCUGGAGCUCAACUCCAGAACUGCCUUUGAUACUGAAGAUCUUGAGUCCGGGAGAGGUGAGUGGAACUGCGAGUGUAGAGGUGAAAUUCGUAGAUAUCGGGAGGAACACCAGUGGCGAAGGCGGCGACCUGGGCCAAUACUGACGCUGAGGAGCGAAAGCGUGGGGAGCAAACAGG
rnacentral:rRNA from 1 species